UACGGAGGGUGCGAGCGUUGUCCGGAAUCACUGGGCGUAAAGGGCGCGUAGGUGGCCUGAUAAGGGUGUGGUGAAAGUCCGGGGCUCAACCCCGGAUCUGCCGUGCCGACUGUUGGGCUGGAGUACUGUAGGGGCAGGCGGAAUCCGGGUGUAGCGGUGGAAGUGCGUAGAGGAUCCGGAGGAAGACCGGUGGCGAAAGCGGCGCACUGGACCACAACUGACGCUGAGGCGCGAAAGCUAGGGGAGCAAACAGGG
rnacentral:rRNA from 1 species